rnacentral:rRNA from 1 species
GAUGAACGCUGGCGGCGUGCUUAACACAUGCAAGUCGAACGAAGUGGAGAUCUUCGGAUUGAAACUUAGUGGCGGGCGGGUGAGUAACGCGUGGGUAACCUGCCUCGUACAGGGGGGUAACGAGUUAGAAAUGACUGCUAAUACCGCAUAACCCGCUAAGGUCGCAUGACCUGGACGGAAAAGAUUUAUCGGUACGAGAUGGACCCGCGUCUGAUUAGCUAGUUGGUGAGGUAACGGCCCACCCAAGGCAACGAUCAGUAGCCGACCCGAGAGGGUAAUCGGCCACAUUGGGACUGAGACACGGCCCAA